rnacentral:lncRNA from 1 species
AUGGCCCGAGAGAUGCAUACAAGAAUCUACUCAUCCAAGUGUAAAUGUAUCUCUUUUAUUCAGGCCUCAAGCAUAAACUUCUCUCCUCUAAAAUGGGACAAUGCAACCAUACAGCCCUUCAAAGCACAUUUGAGUGAGCAAACAUGGAUGAGACAUGAAUGGAGCGACUGGCCACACAGCAGAAGCAGGACUGGAGCACGGUGAAUGGCUGAAGGACGGUCUCAGGAAUGCUUUUGAAGAGGAGAGGAAUGCAUGAAGAGAGGCUGUUGUGAGAGAAGGGCUAAAGUUCCUAAAGCCCUUUGAGAAUUAUGACCACGGGGUGUUUUGCCUGGUCUUGUGUUUAGUUAGCCACAGUCAGAGAAAACAGUUGGUUGUACUUGUUUGCCUACUCAGCACUGCGUAUACUGCAGUCUUCAUUCCCAGACACUGCAAUCCAUAAGACAAUGUGUAAUCUUUAUGUCAUUUAGCAAUACUGCACAGCAGAUAAGUGGAUUUUCAUGUCUGUCCUUUGAGCUGAACAUCGAAAGGGGCAAAUUAUAGGGUUUUUUUUGUUGUUUUUUUUUUUGUAAAAAAAGAACAUUGCCAUCAUUAACUCAGAGGCACAGAAGAGAAUAAAGCCGCCAGACAUCUUACAACAGAGAAUAUGACAAAUUACUGUAAAUAUACUUUUGAAAAGGCUUGUAAAAGGGAAUCGAAGAUAUAGAGGAGCAAAUCUCCGGCUGAUUGCUUAAUUUGUCAGCAUAUCUGACAUGAAAAUAAAAAGGAUGAGAGAGUCAAGGCUGGUUUCUGUCAGUAGUCAUUGAUUUGUGGUGACAGAAAAUAAAAGAUCUUGAAAAAUAAAAGUUUUGAUUGUGGAGAACUUCUAUUACAGUCCUAAUGACUCGACAGAAUUACAGGGUUUUUGUUUGUUUGUUUUUUGUAUAUUCCAAACGAUUUCCAUUAUAGAUUUUUUUUUUCUUUUUACUGUUACUUACUUAAUUACUCAAAUUAUUUUGCGUGAUCCAUCCUGGCUUUCCUCUUGAAACCUCACUAUGACUGAAUCAGACAUAUUUUUAAAUACCCAGGUGUCACUGAUUAACGAUCAUGUGCUGAAGAAUUAAUUUCAGUGUUGUUUUAGUGUCACAGAGACACUUUUACUGCAUCAAGAUAAACA